UCACAUGCGCUUUGUGACAGGCGCGGCAGAGAGGAGUGAGGGGCAGCGACGGCUCCUGACCCGGCACCUAGGGCCGCCUGGGCCUCAGAGAGGGACAGACACAGCUUCUGCAUCAGGGUCCCGCGUCCAGCCUCACGCCCCCUCGCCACCUGCCCCAAACCGACGCCUCAAGGGCUGGGCCAUCUCCUUGGCUCGGGCCCUGGUGCCAGCUCAGCCCGGGGGGCGCAGCGAGGGCUGGGGACCGAGGGGGCCGGGUCAGAAGCUGCCUCUCGUCUCUAGAAGAGGCGGGACCGCGGCGUCCGGCAGAGGCAGGCCUCCUUCUCCUCGUAGAUGGCCGUCAGCGCCUCGAUGUCCUCGUGGAACAGGCGCCGGCUGUGCUCCAGGCCACGCAGGCCCUCCUCCGCCGCGGCCACCUCCUCCAGCACCUUGGAGAAGCGCUCGAAGCUGACGUACGUGUUGUUGGGGGGCAUGCUCGAGUGCGACUUGAUGGUGUACUCCUUGAGGCGCGCCGUCUUCAGGCGCCGCCGCUCCGGCUUCCGGCCGCCGUCCUCCCGCCGCACGUUCCGCCGCCGGAUCGCCUGCGGAGGGAGGGAGAGGCGGGGCCUGAGGCGGGCGGCGCCUAAACGCCUAAAUAAAGUCUUACCGGCACA